AAUCUAGCCUCUCCUAGGCUUUGUCUG
rnacentral:miRNA from 1 species